rnacentral:rRNA from 1 species
GAUGAACGCUGGCGGCGUGCCUAAUACAUGCAAGUCGAGCGAACAGACGAGGAGCUUGCUCCUCUGACGUUAGCGGCGGACGGGUGAGUAACACGUGGAUAACCUACCUAUAAGACUGGGAUAACUUCGGGAAACCGGAGCUAAUACCGGAUAAUAUAUUGAACCGCAUGGUUCAAUAGUGAAAGACGGUUUUGCUGUCACUUAUAGAUGGAUCCGCGCCGCAUUAGCUAGUUGGUAAGGUAACGGCUUACCAAGGCGACGAUGCGUAGCCGACCUGAGAGGGUGAUCGGCCACACUGGAACUGAGACACGGUCCAGACUCCUACGGGAGGCAGCAGUAGGGAAUCUUCCGCAAAGGGCGAAAGCCUGACGGAGCAACGCCGCGUGAGUGAUGAAGGUCUUCGGAUCGUAAAACUCUAUUAUUAGGGAAGAACAAAUGUGUAAGUAACUAUGCACGUCUUGACGGUACCUAAUCAGAAAGCCACGGCUAACUACGUG